rnacentral:rRNA from 1 species
UACGUAGGGUGCAAGCGUUAAUCGGAAUUACUGGGCGUAAAGGGCGCGCAGGCGGCCGAUUAAGUCAGAUGUGAAAGUCCUGGGCUUAACCUGGGGACUGCAUUUGAUACUGCUUGGCUUGAAUUCGGGAGAGGAUAGCGGAAUUCCCAGUGUAGAGGUGAAAUUCGUAGAUAUUGGGAAGAACACCGGUGGCGAAGGCGGCUAUCUGGACCGACAUUGACGCUGAGGCGCGAAAGCGUGGGGAGCAAACAGG